rnacentral:rRNA from 1 species
CCUACGGGCGGCAGCAGUGAGGAAUAUUGGUCAAUGGGCGGAAGCCUGAACCAGUCAAGUCGCGUGAGGGAUUAAGGCCCUGCGGGUCGUAAACCUCUUUUGCCGGGGAGCAGUGGUCCGGACGAGUCCGGGCCGGGAGAGUACCCGGAGAAAAAGCAUCGGCUAACUCCGUGCCAGCAGCCGCGGUAAUACGGAGGAUGCGAGCGUUAUCCGGAUUUAUUGGGUUUAAAGGGUGCGUAGGCGGGCAUUUAAGCCGGCGGUCAAAUGUCGGGGCUCAACCCCGGCCUGCCGUCGGAACUGGGUGCCUUGAGUGGGCGAGAAGUAUGCGGAAUGCGUGGUGUAGCGGUGAAAUGCAUAGAUAUCACGCAGAACCCCGAUUGCGAAGGCAGCAUACCGGCGCCCGACUGACGCUGAGGCACGAAAGUGCGGGUAUCGAACAGGAUUAGAUACCCGGGUAGUC